AUGAACGGCAAGUUCCAUUUCCAUCCCAGAAUUCUCUGCCACCUGUCCCGCCUGACGGCAGGUGUGGCCCUAACAAUCCAUGGAUUUGAAAUCCCAGGUCUGCACACACACCUUCCUCUAACCACCGCCCCCAGCUGCCUGACCAGCACCCGUGAAAGGAGGCUGGACCUGGAGGCUGUGUCACUGUGUGCUGUGUUCGGUGGAGGGACCCAGCUGACCAUCCUUGGUCAGCCCAAGUCCGCACCCUCUGUCACACUGUUCCCGCCCUCCUCUGAGGAGCUCAGCACCAACAAGGCCACCUUGGUGUGUCUGGUCAAUGACUUCUACCCUGACUAUGUGACCGUGGCCUGGAAGGCGGACGGAAAGCCCAUCAGCCAGGGCGUGGAGACCACCAAGCCCUCCAAGCAGAGCAACAGCAAGUAUGCGGCCAGCAGCUACCUGAGCCUGACCUCCAGCCAGUGGAAAAGCCACCAGAGUGUCACCUGCCAGGUCACGCACGAGGGCAGCACCGUGGAGAAGACAGUGGACACCAAAGCCUGCUCUUAGGCCCCUCAGCCUCCCCCAUCCUCAGAGGCCUGGAGCCUCAGGACCCCCAUGGGUCUCCCUCCCCACCCCACCUAUCUCCAGUCCUUCAUCCUGCAAACAAUCCAUUCUCAAUAAAUGUCCUCAUU